CCUACGGGAGGCUGCAGUGAGGAAUAUUGGUCAAUGGACGCAAGUCUGAACCAGCCAUGCCGCGUGCAGGAAGACGGCUCUAUGAGUUGUAAACUGCUUUUGUACGAGGGUAAACGCAGAUACGUGUCUCUGUCUGAAAGUAUCGUACGAAUAAGGAGCGGCUAAAUCCGUUACAGCAGCCGCGGUAAUACGGAGGAUUCACGAGUUAUCCGGAUUUAUUGGGUUUAAAGGGUGCGUAGGCGGUCGGAUAAGUUAGAGGUGAAAUCCCGAGGCUCAACUUCGGAAUUGCCUCUGAUACUGUUCGGCUAGAGAGUAGUUGAGGUAGGCGGAAUGUAUGGUGUAGAGGUGAAAUGCUUAGAGAUCAUACAGAACACCGAUUGCGAAGGCAGCUGACCAAGCUACUUCUGACGUUGAGGCACGAAAGCGUGGGGAGCAAACAGGAUUAGAUACCCGUGUAGUC
rnacentral:rRNA from 1 species